rnacentral:rRNA from 1 species
UGGGAAUCUUGCGCAAUGGGCGAAAGCCUGACGCAGCGACGCCGCGUGGGUGACGAAGGCCUUUCGGGUUGUAAAGCCCUGUGGGGUAGAACGAACUGGCAUCGGGCUAAUAUCUCGGUGUCUUGACGGUACUGCCUUAGCAAGCAUCGGCUAACUCUGUGCCAGCAGCCGCGGUAAGACAGAGGAUGCGAACGUUGCUCGGAUUUACUGGGCGUAAAGCGCGUGUAGGCGGUCUCGUUAGUCGGGGUGUGAAAGCCCCGGGGCUCAACCCGGGAAGUGCACCCGAUACUGCGAGACUGGGGUACUGAAGAGGAGAGCGGAAUUCCCGGUGUAGAGGUGAAAUUCGUAGAUAUCGGGAGGAACACCAGUGGCGAAGGCGGCUCUCUGGGCAGAUACCGAC